ACGGACAAGUUGAAGCUCCCGCUUCACGCCCGCAAACGCUUUUAGUGGUGACCGGGUAAAUUGGGAAAUGCAGGCUCAGUAACUAUUGGGCCUGCAACUUCUAAGGCGGGUGCAGUAAUGCUCCCGCCUUUUUUGUUCGUU
rnacentral:sRNA from 1 species